ACGCUCGACACCUACGGGAGGCAGCAGUGAGGAAUAUUGGUCAAUGGGCGCUAGCCUGAACCAGCCAAGUAGCGUGAAGGAUGAAGGCUCUAUGGGUCGUAAACUUCUUUUAUAUAAGAAUAAAGUGCAGUAUGUAUACUGUUUUGUAUGUAUUAUAUGAAUAAGGAUCGGCUAACUCCGUGCCAACAGCCGCGGUAAUCUGAGCGGGCUGGCAAGGC
rnacentral:rRNA from 1 species